CCGGAUGUUCCCGAGAAUGAAGCCCUUCGGUGUUUGAUUACCGAAAGUUGGCGCUUGAAUGCAACUGUGUACGAGAUUCUAAUUGUGGAGGACACAGAGCUGAUAUGUCAACCUUAAAUAAGCCAGCCGGUCAAUGCAAAGGAUCAGUCGGUUCCUGAGCUUUACCAAACACAUCCAUCAUGAAUGUCACAAAGAUAACAGUCUUUAUACUGCUGUGUUUCGCGAUUCAUACUAUGGCCGACAGUGGAGAUAGCUGCAAAAAAUACAUCAAGAAGCAUGCCGACGAAGCAGAGCAGCGAGCGAAAAGUAUACAAGAACAAAUAAUUUCAAUGACACCUGUAUUGAAAAAUUUUAUGUGGCAAAUCUUGGAGCUGGAGUAUAAAGCUCAAGAGAUACGAGAAAGCCUGGAACGUUUAUCUACUGGUGCGGAUGUAAACAAACCCAGGGAAGACCCUCAAGAGUUGGAAUCCGAGGUUAAAUCAAGUGAAUUGUCGAACGUUUUCUCGCGGCGAGCUCACACCGAUUUUGCUACCAAACUAAUCUGGAAACUAGAACAGGCUGCAGACAAAUCGUAGAAGGGCUAAGUAAAAAUAGCAAGAGAAGGAGACAGGUUCACACCAUUUUAUUUAAUUCAUUUAGAUACUGAAAAUGACCAAGUGGAAUUAAAAAUA